AGUUUUUUCCCGCCUUUUUUUUAGGUCCAUCUCUUAAUAUCGGUUGACCCGACCCGGUAUUAAAUACAUUUCCUAAAUUUGAUUACCAUCUAAUAAUAGCCUAAAUCAAUACCAUAACCUCUAUUGCAUCUCACAUCUCUCCUCUCAAUCAUUGUUCCAAACACUCUUAAGAACCUAAAUGAAAAUCAUCAUCAACAAUCGUCUUGAUUGACAGUUAUUGUGGAUUUGGAAGAACGAUACACAAAAUCCCUUACAUCAAAGGUUUUGUUAUCAAGAAAAAAUAUGGCCAUGAUGCCACCAAUGUUGGUGAUGAAGUCGUUGAGUAUGCAGCCGUGGAAGAUUUAUUCUCUUUGUUUGAAGAUGAAAUAUUCCAUAUCUUGGCUGGCCAUCCAAGAUUGUGAUUGUUGCUGUAUGAAUGGUUUAAAAUUUGAGCAAAGAUGAGAAUUUUGUGUGUCCUGGCGGGGUACUCGAGAUGGUCAUAUGAUUUGACUUUGCUUUCACGUGGCAACCAGUUAGUGUGUAGGAAUGGCACAUCCAUACUCUUUCUUUAAAUAUUUACAUAUAUGAUCCUCAUUAUUCUUUCAUCGUGUUUUCUAAUCAUUCAUCGUCUACAUAAUAUUACCCAUUUUGAUUGAUUGCAGAUCAAUGGUGGAUACUUGGGUAAUUUCUCCUCCUUUUUUACCCACUGUAAAUUUUGUUGCAUGUAUUCAAUAAUUGUUGUGUUCUAAUUGAAGGUUACACCAGUUCUUUUUGAUUCAGUUGUUGGAGGGCUGACGAUGUUUGAGACUACUUAUGUCAUUUUCUCGGGUGCCUUUUUCAUGUUAUGCAUAUAGACUAAUAAUACAGUUAGUAAUUAUAUAUCUUUUUAAUAUUAACGAUGCUUUGGUUCGUUCUUACAAGAUCCAGAGAAGACCAAACUACAGCUUCUACAAAAAGCACAUAUGUCGUUCACCUGGUAUGGUAUGAUAAGCCUUUAGUUAAGUUUCAUAUAAUAUGUUUUUCACAGUUUGUCUUAAACUUUAAUAUACUUUGUUUGUAAAUGCAUGGUGGUUAUUUAGAAAGAUAAAUUCCAGUGAUGUUAUUAAAUAUGCGUCUAAUGUAAGCACCGCAAGGAGGGGAAGUUGACUCUGGCCACCCUCCAAUUUAGUAGCAUUAGUUUUCAAAGAGAAAUUAUGAGAAAUAACACGUCAACUAAAAACGAAAUAAAACCAAUAGACGCUCAUGUGUGAAUAAAGAUGUUGUGCCAAUUGUAUGUGUCAUCCAUGCAAAUUGGGUGACGCCAUCACUAGAAGAGAGCAUGUUGCUACUUAUUUACUUAAUGUACACUAGGUACCUUUGAUCUCCAAUCUUAUAUAGGUGUAAAAAUGACCGGGUCAGGUUAAGUUUAGUUUUAUUUAAACGUAAUAAGAAUUUGAAUUUUUUAAUCUAUUAUCUAUAUGUAUAAAUGAAAUGGGGUUUGGGACACGUGUCCCUAAAUGGUGGUUUAUACAUGAUAAUACAUGUUCAAUAUAUUCAAGAAUAUUGUACAUAAUUUUCAGUGUGUUUUAAGAAGUUUGACACUUGAAGAUUCGGUUAUCCAUCGAUGUGUGUCAUCAAAUGUGGCAAGUUUAUGUUUAUGCAAUUAAGGUGUUUGAUAAAAGGCUUAUAUGGGUUUUACCAGAUAAAUUCAUCAUUUCGGAUUUAAAUUAGCAUCAUUAGUAUAAAAUUCAUUCUCCUUCUAAGUCGGCAAUUUCAAGUGGUUCAGAAAUUACAAGUGGUUUGGCGGCGAGUACAUGAGGUUCGGCGAUCGGCGCUAAUUGUUCAGUUCUCAGUCGGAGAUUACAGGUGGUUUAGGUAGCAUGAUUGCUCUAAUUUAUUUUCUUUUUUCCAGAUUGAUGUUGUAGCUAAGAGCUGUGAUGGAAGGCUUCACAUUGCCAACAACGAUGAACGAGAAGAAAGUUUGAUUCAACUACUUAUGGUAUUAUGUUACAGGUCACUUCUUUUGUAUUUGAUGGUUUCAAGUGAUGCUAUUAAAUGUUUACAAAAUAUUGAGGGUUGAGUCUUGGAACAAUCAGCACAUGGUCACUUUUUUAUGGCCGCAUGUUCGAGCCAUGGUUCAUCCUAAAAGUUUAGAACAUUCUAAUCUAACAUCGCUACUAGAGUUCUUCACCGAACUCCAAAAGGAGGUUCUUUUAUUAGCAUUCAGGUUCGAUUUCUACCUCCUUACUUUAUCAGUUAUAGUUAUAGCUUUGAUUAGUUUUUGUGUAUUUAAAUUAGUUUAUUUUUACUCGUGAUGGAGAUUAACAAUUUUUGCUAUCUAAUUUGUGAAAUAUGAUCGUUGAUUUGUUUUUAGACUGUUUUUCAUUAUAGAAUAUGUUUUUUUUAGUCUGAUAGUUUAUAUCCUGGUAUUUUUGUUUUUUUUUUUUUUGCAUUUUAUUUUUGAAGUCUUUUAGAUUCUGAUUUGGGGCUUUCAUUCUGUGUCCUUUUACCUAACUGUAGGUGAUGUUGAGAUGGUUCCAGUUAUGGUCAACACAAUCAAAAUGGUUUUCUUUUUUUUUUUUUUGCUUAAUCUUUUAUAAAAUGGACAAAUUGUUAUUGUUUGUUUGUUGACACUUGGUCCGUGAUGUUAAGCCUUGGCUUACGUGAGAUCGAUGGGUAAGAAGACAUCACACUUUAUCAUGUUUAGUACAUGUAUGGGUAAAUGGGAUAAUUCGGUUUAAUUUAUCACUAACAGGUGCGUCAAAUGAGUUGAUUUUAUUUAAUAUAGCUCAAACUGAAACGGGUCAAACAGGCGGAAGUCACCUAAAAUGCAUAUAACCUCCGGAUUUGUUUUAUUUCAAAAUAAAUUACUAUAUUGAUAUUUACUCUUUGAUCAUAUCUAAUACUGAACUUUUUUUUAUGAAAAACAAGUUUCUGGGCAGUGGAACCCAUUUUGACACGCAUAGGUAAAAAGUGAUCAAUUUUUUAUAUAUCCCAGAUGAUUUUUUGAUAUUUCACUAUGAUAUGAUUGGUUUAAUUUGCCAUUUGGUUAGAAUAUUGUAACAAUUUUGUAUAGGUUGUUGCUUGCAGUUGUGAUUUUUGUGACCAAGGAGGCCGUUAAAUUCUCAACACGAGGUGAUUUCGGAAGGGCGGUUUUCUCCUUACACAUUUUGGUGCGCAGAUAACUCAUGUAUUUGUGUAAAGUAUUUUAUUUUUAUUAGCAUGAUGUUGUGAUGACCUAACUGUGCUUGCAUAUUACAAAGUUACUUAUACUAGAUAAAGAUGGAAUUGUUACAAAUAAAACAACCAAUGUAAUCUACAAGGAAAUUCUUACUGAAAAAUAUGUUUAGAUUUUC